GUAGCAAACAGGAUUAGAUACCCUGGUAGUCCACGCCGUAAACGAUGUCGACCAGCCGUUGGGUGCCUAGCGCACUUUGUGGCGAAGUUAACGCGAUAAGUCGACCGCCUGGGGAGUACGGCCGCAAGGUUAAAACUCAAAUGAAUUGACGGGGGCCCGCACAAGCGGUGGAGCAUGUGGUUUAAUUCGAAGCAACGCGAAGAACCUUACCAGGGUAUCUAAUCCUGUUUGCUAC
rnacentral:rRNA from 1 species